GUUUCAAUUCCUCAUAGGCAGGCUAUCGGCUUUAAGAGUAUGCUAUUAUAAUGUUAAAGACAAAUAG
rnacentral:sRNA from 1 species